AAAAUGCCAGGUUCCCUCUCAUCAUGGUUGAUGGCUGCCAGUGUACGUAGUGUACGUAUUACGUCCCUGUGUCAGCGGGAAAUGGUCCAACAGUCAGCCUCGCGUGUGGAGACUUCAGAAGAUGCCAGACCUCACAAAGAUUUCAGAUGAUGGAAACUAUAGAUGAACAUGCAAAGCUGCUAAAUAAUCCUUAUAUUGUAAUAAUUGCCCUAAAAGGGAGGAACUUGUCAGCAAAUCUACUUCACAGCACAUCAGUGAAAGCAGUUGACAGUUACAGACGUGUGUUGGAUCAGGGUCAGAUCUGAAUUCUGCAGGUAGGUAGAUCUCCAGGAACAGGAUUGUACAGACCUGUUAUAUUGGUAAUGUAUGAUGGAUUUUGUUUUUAUUGCAGGUUUCCUGGGAUGACCGUUGAAGAGAUCAGCACAUCAGAUGUUGGCCUGGACAGCUGUACCUACAGUACACCACACUGACUUCUUGGCAUGGAUAGCUGACUACUACUAUUAUGUUCUGUGAAGGUAAUAUUGAAGCAAACCUGAGCACCUGUGACAGUGGAAUAGUUGUAAUGAAUAGUCACACAUGCAUAUUUGUAAAUUUAAAGUCACAGAUACAUUUUUUUGUACUAACAAUAUAUGUUUUUUUUUAACUAAUUCUCUCCAGCAAACACGACAGUUACACCAUUUCAUAUUCUGAGGUGCACAAAUCCUAUUCUACAAAUAAGAGAACAACAGUAUACAAGUGCUCAGUUUAGCCCCUUUCACACUGAGAUUCUAGAUAAUACACAGGUAAUGUGUCCUGGCAAUUGUACCCGGAUCGUUAGAUUUUGGUUCAUUCACACUGCCA